CCUCUGCAGGAUCAUGGAUUUCUAUGAGGCGCUUCCCCUGAGCUCCAUCUCCAUCCUCUGUCAUGUUUGCAUGGAAGACAUGCUGAAUUUUUCCAACUCCUGCACGUUCCCAGGAUCCAGCCUUGGUCCAAGGCCCUUUCUGAGCACAGGAGCAUUAGCCUCCAGCCUCACACUGGGACGUCAGUCUUCAGUGCCUACCCCAGAGUAAGAUCUCAUCUUCCAGCCAUUCUGCUCUGGUCUUAGGUGGCCAGUUUACAAGUCCAAGUAAACACUGUUAGAGGUGUGUUGCAUCCUGAGAAGAACUGUACCUGGAUUGACCUCUGGCUUCUUGCAUUUGCUUGGCAGAGGCAUGGGAAGCCAAUUUGGAUCAAACAUAUGAUGUA
rnacentral:lncRNA from 1 species